GACAGAGGGUGCAAACGUUGCUCGGAAUCACUGGGCGUAAAGGGCGUGUAGGCGGGACGGUAAGUCGGGCGUGAAAUCCCUAGGCUCAACCUAGGAACUGCACUCGAAACUACCAUUCUUGAGUGUCGGAGAGGAAAGCGGAAUUCCUGGUGUAGAGGUGAAAUUCGUAGAUAUCAGGAGGAACACCAGGUGGCGAAGGCGGCUUUCUGGACGGUAACUGACGCUGAGACGCGAAAGCGUGGGGAGCAAACAGG
rnacentral:rRNA from 1 species